rnacentral:rRNA from 1 species
AGAGUUUGAUCAUGGCUCAGGAUGAACGCUAGCGAUAGGCUUAACACAUGCAAGUCGAGGGGCAGCACAGGCAGCAAUGUUGGGUGGCGACCGGCGCACGGGUGCGUAACACGUAUGCAACCUGCCUGUAAGCGUGGGAUAGCCUCCUGAAAGGGAGAUUAAUACCGCAUAACAUGUAGAAUCCGCAUGGAUUUUACAUCAAACAUUUAUGGCUUACAGAUGGGCAUGCGUUCCAUUAGGCAGUUGGUGAGGUAACGGCUCACCAAACCUACGAUGGAUAGGGGUUCUGAGAGGAAGGUCCCCCACACUGGUACUGAGACACGGACCAGACUCCUACGGGAGGCAGCAGUGAGGAAUAUUGGUCAAUGGUCGAGAGACUGAACCAGCCAAAUCGCGUGAAGGACGACGGCCCUAUGGGUUGUAAACUUCUUUUACAGGGGAAUAAAGUGCUCCACGUGUGGAGUUUUGUAUGUACCCUGUGAAUAAGCAUCGGCUAACUCCGUGCCAGCAGCCGCGGUAAUACGGAGGAUGCGAGCGUUAUCCGGAUUUAUUGGGUUUAAAGGGUGCGUAGGCGGGACCAUAAGUCAGCGGUGAAAGUUUUCGGCUCAACCGGAAAAUUGCCGUUGAAACUGUGGUUCUUGAGUGCAGAAGAGGUAGGCGGAAUUCGUUGUGUAGCGGUGAAAUGCGUAGAUAUAACGAAGAACACCAAUUGCGUAGGCAGCUUACCAUACUGCAACUGACGCUGAGGCACGAAAGUGUGGGUAUCAAACAGGAUUAGAUACCCUGGUAGUCCACACAGUAAACGAUGAAUACUAGCUGUU